AUUUCCUACGGGGGGCAGCAGUGAGGAAUAUUGGUCAAUGGGCUUACGCCUGAACCAGCCAAGUCGCGUGAGGGAAGACUGCCCUAUGGGUUGUAAACCUCUUUUGUCAGGGAGCAACGCCGGCUACGUGUAGCCGGACUGAGAGUACCUGAAGAAAAAGCAUCGGCUAACUCCGUGCCAGCAGCCGCGGUAAUACGGAGGAUGCGAGCGUUAUCCGGAUUUAUUGGGUUUAAAGGGAGCGUAGACGGUAGAGCAAGUCUGAAGUGAAAGCCCGCGGCUCAACUGCGGGACUGCUUUGGAAACUG
rnacentral:rRNA from 1 species